UACGUAGGGGGCUAGCGUUGCUCGGAAUGACUGGGCGUAAAGGGCGCGUAGGCGGUUCGUACAGUUGGAUGUGAAAUUCCUGGGCUUAACCUGGGGGCUGCAUUCAAUACGUGCGGGCUUGAGUGUGGAAGAGGGUUGUGGAAUUCCCAGUGUAGAGGUGAAAUGCGUAGAUAUUGGGAAGAACACCGGUGGCGAAGGCGGCAACCUGGUCCAUAACUGACGCUGAGGCGCGAAAGCGUGGGGAGCAAACAGG
rnacentral:rRNA from 1 species